GGAUCGAGGGCUUCUUUUUCCACCGGAGCUUGCUCCACCGGAAAAAGAGGAGUGGCGAACGGGUGAGUAACACGUGGGUAACCUGCCCAUCAGAAGGGGAUAACACUUGGAAACAGGUGCUAAUACCGUAUAACAAUCGAAACCGCAUGGUUUUGAUUUGAAAGGCGCUUUCGGGUGUCGCUGAUGGAUGGACCCGCGGUGCAUUAGCUAGUUGGUGAGGUAACGGCUCACCAAGGCGACGAUGCAUAGCCGACCUGAGAGGGUGAUCGGCCACAUUGGGACUGAGACACGGCCCAAACUCCUACGGGAGGCAGCAGUAGGGAAUCUUCGGCAAUGGACGAAAGUCUGACCGAGCAACGCCGCGUGAGUGAAGAAGGUUUUCGGAUCGUAAAACUCUGUUGUUAGAGAAGAACAAGGAUGAGAGUAACUGUUCAUCCCUUGACGGUAUCUAACCAGAAAGCCACGGCUAACUACGUGCCAGCAGCCGCGGUAAUACGUAGGUGGCAAGCGUUGUCCGGAUUUAUUGGGCGUAAAGCGAGCGCAGGCGGUUUCUUAAGUCUGAUGUGAAAGCCCCCGGCUCAACCGGGGAGGGUCAUUGGAAACUGGGAGACUUGAGUGCAGAAGAGGAGAGUGGAAUUCCAUGUGUAGCGGUGAAAUGCGUAGAUAUAUGGAGGAACACCAGUGGCGAANGCGGCUCUCUGGUCUGUAACUGACGCUGAGGCUCGAAAGCGUGGGGAGCAAACAGGAUUAGAUACCCUGGUAGUCCACGCCGUAAACGAUGAGUGCUAAGUGUUGGUAGGGUUUCCGCCCUUCAGUGCUGCAGCUAACGCAUUAAGCACUCCGCCUGGGGGAGUACGACCGCAAGGUUGAAACUCAAGGNAUUUGACNGGGGCCCGCACAAGCGGUGGAGCAUGUGGUUUAAUUCGAAGCAACGCGAA
rnacentral:rRNA from 2 species